CAGCGCCACAAGUGGGGAUCGGUUUUAUUUGGCCUAAAGCGUCCGUAGCUGGUUUGGUAAAUCUCUUGUGAAAUCGUUAAGCUUAACUUAACGGCGUGCAGGAGAGACUGCUAGACUAGGGACCGGGAGGAGUCAGAGGUAUGCUGGGGGGAGCGGUAAAAUGCAAUAAUCCUCAGUAGACCACCUGUGGCGAAGGCGUCUGACUAGAACGGGUCCGACAGUGAGGGACGAAAGCCAGGGGAGCAAACCGGAUUAGAGACCCGAGUAGUCC
rnacentral:rRNA from 1 species